UACGCUGUCAGGGUGAGAUGGAGGCGGUGGUGAGAACCCUUGCAAGUGGGUUGGGGUUGGUUGCGUAGAUGGCGGAGUAUUGGAUUUGUGAGUGUUCUUUAUUUCAAUUUCAGUUUUUUUUUUGGGCUGAUGCUAAGAAUUGGGUGAGUCUUGGUUUUUUUUCUUUUUCUCAUAGAUGUCAUUUUUUAGGAAAUUUAUGUGUAGAUUGGAUGGUGGAAAUUGCAACAAUAUAGUGCAAAUAAGGCUGAUUGAAGCUCUGUUUCUGAGCUCACUGGCAUUAGCUAUGGCGGAUAUUGUUGUUGCCUAUUGGACCAAUUGCAGGGAAAGAAGGAAGCUUCUUCUUGUGUAUGUGAUCGACAUAGAAGGAGUAUAGGUCAUCAUCUAGGUCAAGAUCAGCUUAGUCGCUUCAGCACAGUGAGGAGUGGUUUGAUCAGAUGGAGAACUAUUUACCACAGGCGAUCAACGAGGAGGCACCAGAGAUCAUUGAAGGGUUGUGGGAGAAAGGCCGGAUGUUUACCGAGUUCGUCAUCGCUAAUGGUACCGUCACUGAAUGAUUGCGCAUUGCUUGUAUACUUGGAGAGGUUUGUGUAUUGUUGUUAUGCCUUAGUUCUCACAAUUGCUUGAUGGAUGGUGUUACUUGCGUCCAUACUAAUAUUGAGAACUGAGAAGUUUAGUAGAAUAUGAUGUGAAUAAUAAUAUGAAUCAUGAUGGGCACGGUUAUUUCUUGUUGUUUCUGAAUCAUUAUUCAUUUUGAGAAUUGCCAUUCUUUCAUGUGCACCAUAGCCUCUAUGACAAUUGUUCAUGAGCUUUUCUUUAUUUUCUUAGAAUUGAAUUUUGCAACCACUUAUUAUGUUAGGAAAGAACUUCAUAGUUUUGAAAAGGUAAAUUCAUUGUAUGUUGUUGAUGCCACCAGAUAACUCAUGUAAGAAUAAUAUUGUGGAGGCCCUAGUGUUGUCUA